CCUACGGGGGGCUGCAGUGGGGAAUUUUGGACAAUGGGCGCAAGCCUGAUCCAGCUAUUCCGCGUGUGGGAUGACGGCCCUCGGGUUGUAAACCACUUUUGCACGGGGAUAACACCCUCCACUUGUGGAGGUCUGCAGGUACCGUGCGAAUAAGGGCCGGCUAAUUCCGUGCCAGCAGCCGCGGUAAUACGGAAGGCCCGAGCGUUAUCCGGAUUCAUUGGGCUUAAAGGGAGCGUAGGCGGGCGUUCAAGUCAGCUGUAAAAUCGCGCGGCUCAACCGCGCCCCGCAGUUGAAACUGGACGCCUUGAGUUCACAACAGGCAGGCGGAAUUCGUGGUGUAGCGGUGAAAUGCAUAGAUAUCACGAGGAACCCCGAUUGCGAAGGCAGCCUGCCGGGGUGCGACUGACGCUGAGGCUCGAAGGUGCGGGUAUCAAACAGGAUUAGAUACCCUAGUAGUC
rnacentral:rRNA from 1 species